AACCAAGGAACACCGACCGGCGGCGGAUGCCCCAACCCCCCAACUUACCGCAAACUAGAAUGUUUGGAGAGAUGCCGAAGCCUAUACGCCAGCAAGCGCUGCCGCUGCUCGUUCCCCCGUUAUGGAAAACACAACUGGACGAAUAGCGCGUACGAGGACUGCAGUCUAGUCAGACACAUACUCUGCUAUCAGGUCAAGGAAGAUGAGUUUUUCGCAAGAGGCGGGGUAUGCGAUGAUACUGACAGUUGCCCAGAGGAUUGCAGCACGC